CGUGGAAGUUCGAAAAAUGGAAAAAUCGAUGGCGAGUUUACGGCGCGUCGAGCAAAGGCCGCGUUGGUUUCAAUCGCAGAUCUGGACGUUUCUUUCUCGUAACGAAACAGGAUCAAAGGGGACUGGCUCUGGAAACGAAACGCGCGUGCUCUCGCGUAAUUGACUCUCCUCUUUCUUUCAUCUCUUUCCUCAUAUGUAUGCGUGCACGUUCGUGGCCCGAUUUUUCGUUCUUUCGUGUUUCUUCCUUGAAAUUGUUCGCGCGGAAAGCGAAACUCCCUGACAAUGCUUACCAUCACCUCUCGUUGCAACCCGUGAUAAAGUAAUCCCCGGUGCUCUUUGGCCGUGUGUUCCCGUCGAAAGUUCAAACUUUCGUCGAACGAACGAUCGAUCGAUCAGGAAAGGCAUAAAUUAAUGGCUUCCUCUCUCCUGUACCGCAGCG
rnacentral:misc_RNA from 1 species